GUGACUUUAGAAUAUACGUAUAUAAUUCAAAAGCCUUCAAAGCUUUAGAAAUUUGCAGGAGCAGGUAGGUCAGA
rnacentral:tRNA from 1 species